rnacentral:rRNA from 1 species
UACGUAGGGUGCAAGCGUUAAUCGGAAUUACUGGGCGUAAAGCGUGCGCAGGCGGUUAUGUAAGACAGAUGUGAAAUGCCCGGGCUUAACCUGGGAACUGCAUUUGUGACUGCAUGGCUAGAGUUUGGCAGAGGGGGGUAGAAUUCCACGUGUAGCAGUGAAAUGCGUAGAUAUGUGGAGGAAUACCGAUGGCGAAGGCAGCCCCCUGGGCCAAUACUGACGCUCAUGCACGAA